rnacentral:rRNA from 1 species
GACGUAGGAUGCAAGCGUUGUCCGGAUUUAUUGGGCGUAAAGAGUUCGUAGGCGGUUCGUUAAGUCUGAUGUUAAAGAUCGGGGCGCAACCCCGGGAGUGCAUUGGAUACUGGCAAACUGGAGUGCGGUAGAGGUAAGUGGAAUUCCUGGUGUAGCGGUGAAAUGCGUAGAUAUCAGGAAGAACACCGGUGGCGUAGGCGACUUACUGGGCCGUAACUGACGCUGAGGAACGAAAGCUAGGGGAGCGAACGGG